UACAAGUACAUUACAUGCCGAAACUACUUCGAAAAACGUUGGAUCUCCAGGUAACAAAAGACAGAAUACAAAAGUUACUCAAACAAAUGGAUAUCAUGGUUUUGUAACUGGCCAUCCGCUACCUUUCGCCAAUGACUGAUAAUAUCUAUGAAAUAAUAUAUGGUUGAGGUGACCUAGACAAUGUUGGUUGUUGUUGUUUGUCCAUCGUGGUUCGAUGAAGACCUUGACUUCAGUCACUCUUGUGUGUCCUGGUAUGACUGACGAGCCCAAUCCUGGCAAAGAACUGUCGGCCACAAACGUUGCACAUGUCUUAACUUCUUACAAUCGUCGCAGUACAUUUCUCACUACCGAACGCAAUAUUGCAAUAUUGUAGUAUAGGAUAAUGUUAAAUCAGUUGUAUGCCACGCCAGGUGUGCCAUCGAUCUAUUGUUUUGCAAAGUUUGGUUGUUUUGAUUUUGUUGUUUCGUAUGUUUGGAGAUAUAUUACACUUGGUUCCCUUAGUUGCAUGAGGACAUUUUCCCACCAGGUCUAUUUACAUAAUGCAGUUUGCAUACAUCCCCUUUGUACUUUCAAAGUAAGUGAUGGUUAAAAACUUUGACCUUCUUGUUUUUUCAUUGACCGUACGUGUACGUUUGCCUACAUUACGCAAUCGAGUCUGAUGUGUAGAUUUAGACUUCAAUGUAUUUUGUUGAAUCAUGCUGCAUCAUUUGUUUGUUUGUUUAUUUUCAAACGCCUGGGUGGCCUAUUCAGUUUAGACAAACCGAUUUUCAAUAGGGCCCAGUUUCACAUACAAGGAAAUAAAAGCAUAUUACAAAGAAAAUAAAUAGACACACACAUCGGAACAUAUGAGUACAAAUGAAACAUGAAAGACUGCAGACAAAUCAAAAUCAUAAUCCAUAAAUCCAAUCCAGGUCAACAGAUAAGUUGUUCAGGAUGUCAGAGCUGAUUUAAAUAAAUUCAGGGUUGGAACUUGUUUAAUGUCAGCUGGUAGUGAGUUAAAGUGUUUAGCACCUCUGUAGGCAAAUGUACGUUGUCCUGUUGUAGUCUUGAAAAAGGGUGACCUUCUUUAUCUAAUUGACAGGUGAUGAGUUACCCCACGCAACAGCCACAGUACCCAGCAGGCUCUGCGCCUCCGCCAAUCGGCUUCGAUGCGCAACCACCCCCCUACACACAACAGCCAAUGGCAGCCUACCCCCCUCCCCAAGGUCCACAGGUGUAUGCAGGUGGAAAAGUAGCACCAAUGAUGGCACCACAGCAGAACUCACAAGCAGCGGUGCUACAACCUCAGCAGCAGGUACAGUACCUACAGCCGACAGAUGUUCACGUGAACCAGCAGCCUCCGCGCCACAGUAGGGGCGACGACGUAGAAAACUGCUGUCUCUUCACCUGCUGUUUGUUGGAAAUAUGGCACGGCUGUUGUUGGAACUAGAAUCAUUAACAACCUAAAAUUUAAGUUGCCCCGCCAAAUUUUGGAAAAUAUUUACAAGACCGUCUCUAGAAUAUGCCGAUGUUGUUUGGCACAGCUGCUCAGAUUCUGACUCUAGACGUAUUGAGCGGCUGCAAUAUGAAUGCUUCCUCGUGGUAUCUGGCGCCGUGAGGGGGUCAUUAUAUUCUUCCCUCCUUCAGGAGCUCGGCUGGGAAAAACUAUCCAAGCGACGUUAUGUUAAUUCCCUUCUUCUAUUUCAUAAGAUUGUCAAUAGAUAGCCAAGCUCGACAGUAUUUAACUGACUCUUUACCACCGGCAGUUUCUGAGGCAACGUCAUACAACCUUCAUACGUAACAAAUUAAACAUUGAAAUGCCAGUUUGUACUACCAAUCGUUUUCUAAGAUCUUUUGUACCAUACUCAGUUCAGAAGUGGAACUGUCUUGAUCUAAGUAUUCGCUCGCUGAGCCCCAUUUAUUCAAAAAGUAUCUAAUUCAGUCUGUACGUCCUGUUGUUCCUACUUAUUUUAGCUCUGGUCGAAGGUACACCUGCGUCCUUCUUACGCGCCUUCGUGUCGGCACCUGCAGAUUAAAUCAUAGUUUCUUUAUGCGUAACUUAGUUGAUAAUCCUUCCUGUCGUUGCGGGUGCCGAUGCGAAAGCAUUUCCCACUACCUAUUGCACUGCCCUAAAUAUAUCAACUAACGUUUACUUCUUUUUGACCGACUUGAAAAUUUUAAUUUCUUAACUCUUAAUAGAAAUGCCUUAUCAGAAACAGCUACUAUACAUUUGUUAAUUAGAGGUGCGCCUCUAGCUCUGCUCUCCUCUAUAGCUAAUGCUCAGUCGUAUUUGUUAGAAACGAAACGCUUUUCAUAAUUAAUAGAUUUUCUGUUGUUAUAAUAUUAGUACCGUUACUAUACACUAUUGGCAUUAUGUUAGCUUUAUCUUUUUUAUAUCACCUCUGUUAUAUAUACUCAUAAUGACGAUUCCCGUACCCUUGUGUAUGUCAUUGACUGUAUUUUGUUAGCGGUGCCGCCAACAUGAGCUCUUAGCUUGAGUGCAGUAUCAAUGUGUAUGUAUUUCGUAUUUUUCGUUUAAUAAAAAAAAGUCCCUUUGUUAUGGACCUUCAA